AGGUCAUUGGUGAAAUCCAACGGCUCAACCGUUGAACUGCCGAUGAAACCACCUGGCUUGAGGACGGGAGGGGAGAGUGGAACUCUUGGUGUAGCGGUGAAAUGCGUAGAUAUCAAGAGGAACGCCGGUGGCGAAAGCGACUCUCUGGACCGUUCCUGACACUGAGGCGCGAAAGCUAGGGGAGCAAACAGGAUUAGAUACCCUGGUAGUCCUAGCUGUAAAUGAU
rnacentral:rRNA from 1 species